UACGAAGGGGGCUAGCGUUGUUCGGAAUCACUGGGCGUAAAGCGCACGUAGGCGGAUGUGCCAGUCAGGGGUGAAAUCCCGGAGCUCAACUUCGGAACUGCCCUUGAUACUGAGGAGCUUGAGUCCGGGAGAGGUGAGUGGAACUGCGAGUGUAGAGGUGAAAUUCGUAGAUAUUCGCAAGAACACCAGUGGCGAAGGCGGCUCACUGGCCCGGUACUGACGCUGAGGUGCGAAAGCGUGGGGAGCAAACAGG
rnacentral:rRNA from 1 species